rnacentral:rRNA from 1 species
UACGAAGGGUGCAAGCGUUACUCGGAAUUACUGGGCGUAAAGCGUGCGUAGGCGGUGAGUUAAGUCUGUCGUGAAAGCCCCGGGCUCAACCUGGGAAUGGCGAUGGAUACUGGCUCGCUAGAGUGCGGUAGAGGAGAGUGGAAUUCCCGGUGUAGCAGUGAAAUGCGUAGAGAUCGGGAGGAACAUCAGUUGCGAAGGCGGCUCUCUGGACCAGCACUGACACUGAGGCACGAAAGCGUGGGGAGCAAACAGG